AUAUCAAUAAGCGGAGGAAAAGAAACCAACAGGGAUUGCCCUAGUAACGGCGAGUGAAGCGGCAACAGCUCAAAUUUGAAAUCUGGCUUCGGCCCGAGUUGUAAUUUGCAGAGGAAGCUUUAGGCGCGGCACCAACUGAGUCCCCUGGAACGGGGCGCCACAGAGGGUGAGAGCCCCGUAUAGUUGGACGCCUAGCCUGUGUAAAGCUCCUUCGACGAGUCGAGUAGUUUGGGAAUGCUGCUCAAAAUGGGAGGUAAAUUUCUUCUAAAGCUAAAUACCGGCCAGAGACCGAUAGCGCACAAGUAGAGUGAUCGAAAGAUGAAAAGCACUUUGAAAAGAGAGUUAAACAGUACGUGAAAUUGUUGAAAGGGAAGCGCUUGCAAUCAGACUCGCCUUCAGUUGAUCAGCCUUCCUUCUGGUUGGUGCACUCUGCUGUUGGCGGGCCAGCAUCAGUUGGGGCGGUGGGACAAAGGCGGCAGGAAUGUGGCUCGCUUCGGUGAGUGUUAUAGCCUGCUGCGUCAUGCCACCAGCCCCGAUUGAGGUCCGCGGUUCGCCUAGGAUGCUGGCUUAAUGGUUGUAAGCGA
rnacentral:rRNA from 1 species